GUAGAGCACUGAUUGGCGGUUCCGGGGGAGAAAUCCCUCACCCGCCUGUCAAACUCCAAACCCACUGUCAUCUAAGAAGGUCGGAGUCCGGACUGCUGGGGUAAGCUUGUAGUCCGUAAGGGAGACAACCCAGCCCGUGGUUAAGGUCCCCAAGUGUCGACUAAGUGUUAACACUAAAGGGCGUCCCAAGCCCAAGACAGCUGGAAGGUUAGCUUAGAAGCAGCUACCCUUCAAAGAGUGCGUAACAGCUCACCAGUCGAGGUUUGGGGCCCCGAAAAUUGACGGGGCUCAAGUCGACCACCGAUACCACGGAGUACCGAAAGGUAAUCUUGUAGGAAGGCGUUGUGUUCGGGCUGAAGCAGGGCUGUAAAGUCCUGUGGACCGUUCACAAACGAAAAUCCUGGUAACAGUAGCAGCAUAGCAGGGUGAGAAUCCCUGCCGCCGAAGGGGCCAGGUUUCCUCGGCAAUGAUCGUCAGCCGAGGGUUAGUCGGUCCUAAGACGUACCGUAACUCGAGUACGCCAAAAGGGAAACAGGUUAAUAUUCCUGUACCAUUUAGCAACAAAUCUGACGUCUCAGGGCAGGCCGAGCGGCGCCGUCGCGCCGUCUAAGCAGCGAAACCCGUGGAGAGCCGUAAUGGCGAGAAGCAGGCGAAUCUGUAAUGGCUAAAGUCGGCUGCACCCAGGGACCCGUGAAAAGGAGAGCUAAAUGUCCGUACCGAGAACUGACACAGGUGCCCCUAGCUGAAAAGGCUAAGGCGUGUCGGAGUAAUUCAGUUAAGGGAAUUCGGCAAAUUAGCUCCGUAACUUCGGGAGAAGGAGUGCCUGCUUUGAAGAAAGCAGGUCGCAGUGACCAGGGGGCUCUAACUGUCUAAUACCAACAUAGGAGAUUGCAAAUCCGUAAGGACUAGUACAAUCUCUGAAUCCUGCUCAGUGCAGGUACCUGAAACCCCGGUUCAACGGGAAGAAGGGCCUGUAAACAGCGGGGGUAACUAUGACCCUCUUAAGGUAGCGUAGUACCUUGUCGCUUAAUUGGCGACUUGCAUGAAUGGAUCAAUGAGAGCCCUACUGUCCCUAACUGGAGUCCGGUGAAGCUUACAUUCUAGUGCACAGUCUAGAGACCUCUAGGGGGAAGUGAAGACCCCGUGGAGCUUUACUGCAGCCUGUCGUUGGGUUGUGGUUCUGGAUGUACAGUGUAGGUAGGAGGCGUCGAAGCGGGUGCGCCAGCAUCCGUGGAGCCGCAAUUGGGACACUACCCUUCUGGGACUACGACCCUAACUCUGUGAAGAGGACCCCGAUAGGUGGGCAGUUUGCCUGGGGCGGGACGCCCUUGAAAAGAUAUCAAGGGCGCGCAAUGGUUGACUCAAGUGGGUCGGAAACUCACUGAAGAGUGCAAGAGCAUAAGUCAGCCUGACGUUAUUCAGCAUAGCAGUGGAUGACGAGACGAAAGUCGGUUCUAGCGA
rnacentral:rRNA from 1 species